rnacentral:tRNA from 1 species
GUGGCGGUAGCUCAACGGGCAGAGCACCGGGCUGUGAUCCCGGCGGCUGCGGGUUCGAAUCCCGCCCGUCACCCCA